ACAAAUGUACCAAGUACAAUACGGGGAGGCAAUUGAGCAUAACUAUUUUUAUCCACACUUUUUUUUUUUUUUGGCAGAAAUGUUGGUAAACGUUGGAUCGCUAUUAGCCAAGGGGAAAGCAAAUUUCCACGUUAGGCUCUCAGGCCAAGCCGGAAUCACAUCACAGUUAAUUCCUGUCCACAUAACUGCUUUUUCUGUUGCCUGUUGGUACGUCGAGUUGACGGAUAUGGCAGCCGUGGCUUCUGCAGCCGCUCCACUAGUUCUAAAGAGUUGCUCCCCGGCUUCCAAAAACCCCCUCCAAAUGCUAUCAGAAUUGCCUUUGCCAAACCCAAUACAUGCUCUCCCAAAAUUUCCAAGACCAGAGCCGGUCUGGUUCGAGCUUUAGAGUCUGAAAGGGAAGAAGCAAAUUCCGACAAAGAUGGCCCUGAUGACAUUGCAUCCUUGUUCCAGGAAGAUUUGAACUACUUGGUUAAGCUGGGAGCUGGUUCUGUGGCGGGCGCGGCUGCAAUAAAGUAUGGAAGUGCUGUUUUUCCAGAGAUAACAAGACCCAACAUUAUAGAGGCUCUUGCCCUAAUUUCUUUCCCUCUCAUUGCCGCAGUCUUGCUGUUGAUCAGGCAAAGUCGUUCACAGUGAAGCGUCUGACUGACGUCUGCGGCUAGUCUUUUGCCGUAAAUAUGAAAUGUUUUUUCUUGCUACUCGUUUCUCCAUCGAGAGGAACUUAGAGAGGAGGAAUAUAUUGGUUAAAUGCGUUCUUUAGAAAUAAACCGCUGAUUUAAACUCUACUGCAAAAUUUCUGUCUUUUUACAUGCAGCAAGAAUUCAACCUGGUUGCCGCGUCCUUCAGGUUCACUUGACCGUAAGAUGUUGAAUUAGUCAAAUUUUAUUUGUUGCACUUGGAUACAGUAUUAUUUGAAAUAAUUAUUACAAUAUUUUUUAUGAUGUAAUGUAUAAGAGAUAAAAAAAUGAUUGAAAAUAUAAAAGUGUGAAUUAAGAAAUGUGUUUAUGAUACAAACGAAAUAUUAUUUGAAAUAUUCUUGCUAUCCAAACACUCCAUCGAUACGUUUUCUGGCCAGGCAGAGAAUGUAGCUGCUGUUCAAUAUCCACAAUUCUACAUAUAAAUUGAUCACAAUGAGAAGCAGUUCCUCUCAGCUGAAUCCAGCUCUAAUAGUCUCGAAGUAAGUGUAAUUGCAAGCAAUGUAGAUUUACAGGGUUGACCCAAAAAAAAAAAAAUAAAAGAAUGGCAACUAGGGUUUUCCUCAGUUUCUUCAACAGAGCUUGAGAAAGAUUCAGUUUGAAGCAAACAAUGCUGCACCGUCCAUCUUUGCUUGUUAAGCGAGGCGCCCAAAGCAUAGGACAUGCGUUGCAAGAAAAAGCAGGUACCUAAUGGGACUCCUGACCACAAGGAUGACUAUAGGUUGUCUUUCAACCAUUUUAGUGCUCCAUUUGCAACAGACCUGCAACCACAGAAUCAUGCACAAGUCAAGAUAACAUUUCAAGAUAUGUG